AGAGUUUGAUCCUGGCUCAGGAUGAACGCUAGCUACAGGCUUAACACAUGCAAGUCGAGGGGCAGCGGGGAGGAAGCUUGCUUUCUCUGCCGGCGACCGGCGCACGGGUGAGUAACGCGUAUCGAACCUGCCUCAUACUCGGGAAUAGCCUUGCGAAAGUAAGAUUAAUGCCCGAUGUUUUCAGCGGUCCGCAUGAACUGCUGAACAAAGAUUUAUCGGUAUGAGAUGGCGAUGCGUCCCAUUAGCUUGUUGGCGGGGUAACAGCCCACCAAGGCAUCGAUGGGUAGGGGUUCUGAGAGGAAGGUCCCCCACAUUGGAACUGAGACACGGUCCAAACUCCUACGGGAGGCAGCAGUGAGGAAUAUUGGUCAAUGGACGCAAGUCUGAACCAGCCAAGUAGCGUGCAGGAUGACGGCCCUCCGGGUUGUAAACUGCUUUUAGUUGGGAAUAAAGUGCAGCUCGUGAGCUGUUUUGUAUGUACCAUCAGAAAAAGGACCGGCUAAUUCCGUGCCAGCAGCCGCGGUAAUACGGAAGGUCCAGGCGUUAUCCGGAUUUAUUGGGUUUAAAGGGAGCGCAGGCGGACUCUUAAGUCAGUUGUGAAAUACGGCGGCUCAACCGUCGGACUGCAGUUGAUACUGGGAGUCUUGAGUGCACACAGGGAUGCUGGAAUUCAUGGUGUAGCGGUGAAAUGCUCAGAUAUCAUGAAGAACUCCGAUCGCGAAGGCAGGUAUCCGGGGUGCAACUGACGCUGAGGCUCGAAAGUGCGGGUAUCAAACAGGAUUAGAUACCCUGGUAGUCCACGCCGUAAACGAUGAAUGCUAAGUGUUGGAGGGUUUCCGCCCUUCAGUGCUGCAGCUAACGCAAUAAGCAUUCCGCCUGGGGAGUACGACCGCAAGGUUGAAACUCAAAGGAAUUGACGGGGGCCCGCACAAGCGGAGGAACAUGUGGUUUAAUUCGAUGAUACGCGAGGAACCUUACCCGGGCUUGAACUGAGGGGGAAUGAGCCAGAGAUGACUCAGUCUUCGGACUCCCUUGGAGGUGCUGCAUGGUUGUCGUCAGCUCGUGCCGUGAGGUGUCGGCUUAAGUGCCAUAACGAGCGCAACCCUCAUCCUCGUUUGCCAUCAGGUAAUGCUGGGCACUCCGGGGAUACUGCCAUCGUAAGAUGUGAGGAAGGUGGGGAUGACGUCA
rnacentral:rRNA from 1 species